CUACGUGCCAGCAGCCGCGGUAAUACGGAAGGUCCGGGCGUUAUCCGGAUUUAUUGGGUUUAAAGGGAGCGUAGGCCGGAGAUUAAGUGUGUUGUGAAAUGUAGACGCUCAGCGUCUGACUUGCAGCGCAUACUGGUUUCCUUGAGUACGCACAACGUUGGCGGAAUUCGUCGUGUAGCGGUGAAAUGCUUAGAUAUGACGAAGAACUCCGAUUGCGAAGGCAGCUGACGGGAGCGCAACUGACGCUGAAGCUCGAAGGUGCGGGUAUCGAACAGGAUUAGAUACCCUGGUAGUCCGCACAGUAAACGAUGGAUGCCCGCUGUUGGUACCUGGUAUCAGCGGCUAAGCGAAAGCAUUAAGCAUCCCACCUGGGGAGUACGCCGGCAACGGUGAAACUCAAAGGAAUUGACGGGGGCCCGCACAAGCGGAGGAACAUGUGGUUUAAUUCGAUGAUACGCGAGGAACCUUACCCGGGCUUGAAUUGCAGAGGAAGGAUUUAGAGAUA
rnacentral:rRNA from 1 species